GACGAACCGUGCGAACGUUAUUCGGAAUCACUGGGCUUAAAGCGCGUGUAGGCGGAUGGGGACGUCGGUCGCUGAAAUCCCCCGGCUCAACCGGGGAACGGGCGCCGAAACGCCCCGUCUCGAGGGACGUAGGGGGACCUGGAACUUCCGGUGGAGCGGUGAAAUGCGUUGAGAUCGGAAGGAACGCCCGUGGCGAAAGCGAGGUCCUGGACGUCUUCUGACGCUGAGACGCGAAAGCUAGGGGAGCGAACGGGG
rnacentral:rRNA from 1 species